AACGCACAUUGCACUCCUUGGUAUUCCGAGGAGUAUGCCUGUUUCAGUAUCAUGAGCACUCUCACAUCUAACCUUUGGGUUAUGAUAUGGAAUUGGGAUGCGCCGAUUUUUACUAGUCGGCACUCCUAAAAUGUAGCUCUUGGCUGUUUCCUACUACAGCAGUUUGGCCUAAUAGUUUUGACUUUUGUCAAAUCUUUGGCUACAUUUGCUUCUGGAAAUCAGUCUUGAUAAUACAGAAAACUCAUUUUAAACUUUGAUCUGAAAUCAGGUAGGGCUACCCGCUGAACUUAA
rnacentral:misc_RNA from 1 species